rnacentral:rRNA from 1 species
CCUACGGGUGGCAGCAGUAGGGAAUAUUGCUCAAUGGGGGAAACCCUGACGCAGCAACGCCGCGUGGAGGAUGAAGGUCUUCGGAUUGUAAACUCCUUUUGUUAGAGAAGAUAAUGACGGUAGCUAACGAAUAAGCACCGGCUAACUCCGUGGCAGCAGCCGCGGUAAUACGGAGGGUGCAAGCGUGACUAGGAAUCACUGGGCGUAAAGAGCGCGUAGGCGGGAUAGCAAGUCAGAUGUGAAAUCCUAUGGCUUAACCAUAGAACUGCAUUUGAAACUGUUGUUCUAGAGUAUGGGAGAGGUAGGUGGAAUUCUGGGUGUAGGGGUGAAAUGCGUAGAGAUCAAGAGGAAUACUCAUGGCGAAGGCGGCCUGCUAGAACAUAACUGACGCUGAUGCGCGAAAGCGUGGGGAGCAAACAGGAUUAGAUACCCGAGUAGUC